ACAGAUUGAUGUUUAGUAUGUCAACGGUUACAUAGCGUCAGGACACGAACGGACGACGAUGUUAGCAGCGGGCGGCCAUUGCUAGCCCCACAAACGAGGCAGGAGAGGAAGUGGAGCUUCGCUUACGUCGCGAGGCAAAAAGUGGGCUGAGCCGCCGAAGGAUAUGAGCUCGUCGGGAGGCGGAGAGGAAAGACACACGCAACAGAGGAGGGAAACGGGCAACACGGAGAGGAGAGAGCGCCCGAGCUAUGUCGCGCAAACCCCCACCAAAACGACGAAAAUGGCCAGAAAACAGCACGCCGACCGGGACAGACGACGGCGGAUAGUCACCGAGGAUGUUGGGAUUCCCUUUGGCGUAUAACAGAAUGCGACAGAAGAACCGGAUUGUCUGACCCAAAGAAAAUGGGUUGACGUCAGGCUACGAAGACGUUACGGAUGGAUUCGUACGAUUUUCUCUCCAGAGUAGAAUUUGGAGACAUGGACUGUUAGGAAGAUUUUCAAAUUAGGACCAAUAGAAGACAGCUCUACCCCAUUCAACUGGAUUUCGCUGACAAUGGAGACCGUGUUAUACGAAGAUAGCGUUGUUUAACGUGAAGAUGGCAAUUUUUGACAAGCUGAAUUAUUUUUUUUUUGGACGAGAUUUCAUAUGGAUUUUUAAAUACGUUUUACGACACAGUGGACAUCGGAACACAGUUGCUACCUGUGUGGUGGACUUAUAUUUUACCUGUUUUUUUUUAGAAGCACAAAAUUGGCAAUUGUACUUUGGUGUUCAUGCUGUUGUGAAUAAAGAGUAUGUUCUGUA